CCUACAAACGUUGCAUCGUUAAAAUCAACGCCUCGUAAAAUUGUUUAUGCUGUUCCAAGACAUCUUUUCGUUAUUUCGAUGGCUCGUGAUUUGAAACGUAGGGACGAUCUAAUUUAGUUUUCCAAGUAAGAAGAAACGAGGAAGGGAAGAGUGGCACGUAAUAAGAAUACGAAUAAACGGCAAAGAUGACGAACGAGUCAACAGGUGUCAGACACACGUGUGCCACGACGAUAUACAACUGUAUAUACGCAACUCCCGAUAAAGGAUCUUUUGUACACCGGUAAGGAAAAAAAAACAUCGUCCAAUUUUCGGACUGUUAACAACUUUCCUCAACUCGAAUCGAAAUGAUGCAACUCGAAACGAACCCGAAUGAGGAGAUGGCUUUACUCGAUCUCCGAUACGUUUAUCCUCGUGCGACUUACGUAAUAACCGCGACGAACGACACGUUCCAACGUAAUGACGACGAUAAAAAUUUUAACGAAGUGUUGAUCGCGCGGCAAAGGGAAACGCUAUUCGUCUCGCGGCGAGAGAGAUGGAGCAACAUCGUGCGUGGCUGAACGAGGCGCCAUUUCCGGCAACGGGUGACUGGCACGCAUUUUUCCUCCAAAUUAUAUAGUAUACGCUCGCGCGGGCUAUUUUAAAAUGUGGCGACGAGAGGAACGUGUUUCCCCGGCGCCACGAGUCGCACUGGGCCAAACGAUAUUCUUAGCACCGUACGCGUGCCAGUAGCGGGGAAGAAGGAUCGAUGUGCACGCGUGUUAUACACGAAACGCUGUGAUUAUUACGAGGUCCACGGGUUCGUGCGACCGUCAAAUCUGACGCGUAAUUAUUUUGUUUUGCGUCCAGCCACCGUGCCAGGUUAUCUCCCGGGAUAUGCGCACGAAGGAUGAAUCGACGACAGACGGAGACGAGAAAUAAUUUACGAAUGUCUCCGACGCUGGGGCAAAAAAGCGGGCAUAUCGUGAGACGAGAGAGAGAGAGAGAGAGAAAAAGAGAGAAAGUAGGAGUUUUUUGUUGGAAUCACGACGCACGAGAUAAGGGGCACGAAGUAAUGCGUAAUUUAUCAAGCUGACACUCGGCGUUGAGUGUUAAUUAUACGCGACGCAUCAAUCCUCCGAGUUUAUUCAGCGUUGCCGGCGGAAGAUACGAGACGCAGUGCGCGAGGUAGUCGUUAAAUUGUUACGCUUCGUCGUCUGGAAAGGAAGACCCCGAGUGUCGUUUCUGUUACGAAGAUAGGUACGGCCUUAAUGUAUUUUCAAUAAUCGAAUUGUGUCCGUUUUCGACACGAGAAUAUAAAAUUGUUCGUUUCUAGAAAGGAAAGGAUUUAGUAAUGAACCAAAAACACGGAAUAUACAUCGAUGCAACGCAGCUGAGAGAACGAAUUGAUUUAAAGUUGUUCCAAAGUAGCCGAGGUUCCGUCGAAAUGCGUUUUCCUUCGGCCGAGGUUCGAAUAUCGAAACGAAGGACGAGGCGAAUGGGAAUCGGACGAUUUCUCGCGCCGAAAGGACACUUCCAGACGAUUUACGAGUCGAUUAGCAUGGUAAUAUGCGAUUUACACCCGUAGAAGCCUUGGCCGGAUGAGUAUUUUUAUUCUUUUCGCUCGGACACGAAACGCGCCGUGACUAAAUUUGCGAAAGAUCCUUGCCAGGACACCGAGAGAGGUGUCCUAAGAGAACGGACUUUCGGACGAGCACGGGAAGAGAUUGCGAAAUUUCGUCAUGGUGCAAGAGAAAAAAAUUGGAAAAAUAAAAAGGUACGAUCCACGUUCGUCUCAUUUUACUUUUACUCGUCGAAAGGAAGGAUACCGUGCAUUGAGAAUAAAAUUGAAAUGAAACGUUUCGUCUACUUCAUGAAGUGAUUCAUGAGAUAAUGAGAAAGCACUCGUCAAGUACUUUCGAUAAUCGAUAAACGAUAUAAGAAAGAAAAAAAAAAGAAGAAGAAGAAAUAAAGAAGAGGAGGGGAAGGCACGAUAAAGAAUCGACUGUGCUAUAGAGCAGACAGCUACAUGGCAAUUACAGGGUCAACGGGCCAAGGAAAACGUCGUCCAGAUACUCUUGAGUCGAGGUCAUCGCCUUUGAGUACUAGCCAAAGAAUUUUCGAUCUCCCACCGUGGCUGAUUCCGCUCCCGACACGGUUCCCUGCCUCGAAACAAGAAAAAACGAGGCAAAUAUUCGCGGCCGACUACUCCCUUUACCUUCGUUUUCCAUCGAGAAACUUUAUCGGCUUUCAACGUCCUGUAAUAUUUACGGCCGAGCUACUAACAAACGUUCGAAAAUUUAACGAAAAAUAAGUAAAAAUUGCAAUUAAAGAAGAACGAGGGGGGG